rnacentral:rRNA from 1 species
GACGAACGCUGGCGGCGUGCUUAACACAUGCAAGUCGAACGGAAAGGCCCUUCGGGGUACUCGAGUGGCGAACGGGUGAGUAACACGUGGGUGAUCUGCCCUGCACUUUGGGAUAAGCCUGGGUAACUGGGUCUAAUACCGAAGAGGACCACGCGCUUCAUGGUGUGUGGUGGAAAGCUUUUGCGGUGUGGGAUGGGCCCGCGGCCUAUCAGCUCGUUGGUGGGGUAAUGGCCUACCAAGGCGACGACGGGUAGCCGGCCUGAGAGGGUGACCGGCCACACGGGGACUGAGGUACGGCCCAGACUCCUACGGGAGGCAGCAGGGGGGAAUAUUGCACAAUGGGCGCAAGCCUGAUGCAGCGACGCCGCGUGAGGGAUGACGGCCUUCGGGUUGUAAACCUCUUUCCAUAGGGACGAAGCGCAAGUGACGGUACCUAUAGAAGAAGCACCGGCCAACUACGUG